rnacentral:rRNA from 1 species
CACGUAGGCGGAUUGAUAAGUUAGGGGUGAAAUCCCGGGGCUCAACCUCGGAACUGCCUUUGAUACUGUCAGUCUUGAGUCCGAGAGAGGUGAGUGGAACUCCGAGUGUAGAGGUGAAAUUCGUAGAUAUUCGGAAGAACACCAGUGGCGAAGGCGGCUCACUGGCUCGGUACUGACGCUGAGGUGCGAAAGCGUGGGGAGCAAACA